rnacentral:lncRNA from 1 species
UCAGAGAGGUAAAAAGAUAACGUGCUACGUACCUGUUUCAUUUAUUUUUUAAAAAAACAAGCUUAGGUGGUAAAUCAAUUAGGAUUUGAAUUUGAAACCUCAGGUAAUUAAACCAUGUAAUGACUCGAGUAAACCAAUCUGAAUGUUGGCAAAAUAUCUAUAUUAUCUAUACAUUAUUUUUCAUAAAUUUGCCACAGGGCAACGUUUUCUUUAUUAUUGUUGAGUGUAGGCUCCAUCCCGAAUCCGCUCAAGUCCUUCCUCUUUUUUUACUUAAACCGAACCGAUCAUUGUUGAUUGCAUUGGGCCGAACCGACCUAAACGCUCCAUAUAUUUUUAUCUUUGAACUAAAUUUUUUUUCUUCUUUUGCUUGAAUUGAACUGAUCACUAUCGAGUGUGGGCUCCACUCCGAACCAGAUGAAGUUUUCUUCUUUCUUUGUUUGAACCGAACCGAAUUUCCUCUUUUUUUUUUUUUGCUUGAACCGAUCCGAAUCAUAUUUCUGUAUUAUGCCGAACUGUUCCUCUAGCUUUCUCUUCCUUUGACUGUUACCUUCGGUCAUCGGCAAGAUAAAUUCCACCUCUCAUCAUCGCUUCUUUUAUCGUCAUUUCCUCUUCUUUUAUCAUUAUUUUCUAUUUUUUCUUCAAUUAUCUACCGGACGUAUUGCACGGGUUACUACAUAUAUAGUAUUACAUCAAUAUGUGA